rnacentral:lncRNA from 1 species
CCUUACUGAGGAGUUGGCAACACUGGUCAGGAGAGAGGAAAGUAACAACGACGAGAGGGAUAGAGACAGUUCGUGAGGUAGCUCUACCCAAUUGAUAGUUUUAGUAGUUCGUAAUAAGCAGUCUUGUAAGUACGCCUUAUGUACUUUGAAGAACUAGUAAAAUUAUCUCUGCAGCAUACUUAGGAAGCUACUAGCUCAAAGACUGUACAGUAUGGGGAGCACAGAGAUGGUUGUCUGACUGGCUGGCUGCUAAUGCCUGAGCAGAGAUGAGAUGGUGACUUUAUGGAAUUAAAGAUAGUCUUCAAAUAAAAGCAAUAAACACAACUGAAAUAUUUUAUUACUUCAUAGUCAUUUCCUAUUUUUCUGUUGAUUGUCUACCAAUGUGGACAUAUACAAGAGAAAGUUAAUGUUUUUGCAAAUUAAAUCUUCACUCUUUUUGGCUUUGGAAUUUCCAUUAACAUUUACAUGAAUUUCUUUAAACAAAUUAUCUAAACUGAAAUCAAAAACCAUGCUUAUUUUUUAAUAACCGAAACGACCUCAAAAAGCACUAAUCGCUUAACACUAAAGGACAGUGUAUCCAGAUAGGGAAGGAAGCAAAGCUGUUAAGCAAACAGUGACGUCCGUCAUAUCUACUGCCCAGGAAUUAUACACAACAAAUACAGUAGGUCUGCGGUCAAAAAGUUGUUUCAUGGCUUACUUAGCCUGAGCAGAACUAAAAGCUUGAAUGCAAGUGUCAAGCUCUCUCUUUCCAAGCCCAACGCCAAAUACUGAUCAGACAGAGACAGUUCAAAAGGUGAAGGCAGGCCCGAUAGUAUUUUGAGUCGUGUGACAAAGCUGGAAAAAAAAUAUGGUCUUGCUAGAGGCCUGAAGUUUCAAUCAAAUUCUUAAAUUUUAUUACUGCUGCACCAUUAAUACAAGUACAUAUCAUUUGAAUGCUUACAUUUUUAUUUUACUUUGUUUGAAUUAGAGGUGGUGUGAAGAUAGCGGUAAGACAUGGAAUGAAAUAUCAACUGUAAUUGCCAUGAAUGCAAACUUCAAAAAAGCUAUUUUCCACUUCACCGAAAGACAGGACUACACAGGUUUACCCAACCACGGACAUGCAAUUACUUUGUCAAGAGAGGAAGAGACAAUCCCCCAAGUGACACACAACAUUCUCGCAAUGUUUCUGCUACGUUUCUACAUUGUUGGGCAAAAAUAAAUGUUGUGUGUCAACUCGGAGAAACUGACCAAAAAGGUACUGUACUCAAUGAAUGAAUGAAUGAAUGAAUGAAUGAAGUGAAUAAAUCUACAUAUAAAGCACCAGUCAAAAGUUUGGGAACACCUACUUAUUCAAGGGUCUCUUUAUUUGUACUAUUUUCUACAUUGUAGAACUAUAGUUACGAUAUCACAACUAUGAAAUAACACAUAUGGAAUCAUGUAGUAAGCAAAAAAGUGUUAAACAAAUCAAAAUAUAUUAUAUAUUUGAGAUUCUCAAAGUAGUCACCUGGAAUGCAUUUCAAUUAACAGGUGUGCCUUGUUAAAAGUUAAUUUGUGGCAUUUCUUUCCUUCUUAAUGUGUUUGAGCCAAUCAGUUGUGUUGUGACAGUGGUAUACAGAAGAUAGCCCUAUUUGGUAAAAGACCGAGUCCAUAUUAUGGCAAGAAUAGCUCAAAUAAGCAAAGAGAAACGACAGUCCAUCAUUACUUUAAGACAUGAAGAUCAAUCAAUCUGGAAAAUGUAAUAACUUUGAAAGUUUUUUCAAGUGCAAUUGCAAAAACCAUCAAGCGCUAUGAUGAAACUGGCUCUCAUGAGGACCGCCACAGGAAAGGAAGACCCAUAGUUACGUCUGCUGCAGAGGAUAAGUUCAUUAGAGUGACCAGUCUCAGAAAUUGCAGCCCAAAUGCUUCAGAGUUCAAGUAACAGACAUCUCAACAUCAACUGUUCAGAUGAGACUGUGUGAAUCAGGCCUUCAUGGUUGAAUUGCUGCAAAGAAACCACUACUAAAGGACACCAAUAAGAAGAAACUUGCUUGGGCCAAGAAACACGAGCAAUGGACAUUAGACCGGUGGAAAUCUGUCCUUUGGUCUGAUGAAUCCAAAUGUGAGAUUUUUGGUUCCAACCGCCGUGUCUUUGUGAGACGCAGAGUAGGUGAACUGAUGAGCUCCGCAUGUGUGGUUCCCACUGUGAAGCAUGGAGGUGGUGUUGGGGUGCUUUGCUGGUGACACCGUCAGUGAUUUAUUUAGAAUUCAAGGCACACUUAACCAGCAUGGCUACCACAGCAUUCGUUUGCGCUUAGUGGGACUAUAAUUUGCUUUUCAACAAGACAAUGACACAACACACCUCCAGGCUGUGUAACAGCUAUUUGACCAUGAAGGAGAGUGAUGGAGUGCUGCAUCAGAUGACUUGGCCUCCACAAUCACCCGACCUCAACCCAAUUGAGAUGGUUUGGGAUGAGUUGGACUACAGAGUGAAGGAAAAGCAGCCAACAAUGUGGGAACUCCUUUAAGACUGUUGGAAAAGCAUUCCAAGUGAAGCUGGUUGAGAGAAUGCCAAGAGUGUGCAAAGCUGUCAUGAAGGCAGGGUGGCUAUUUGAAGAAUCUCAAAUAUAAAAUACAUUUAGGUUUGUUUAACACUUUCUUUGGUUACUACAUGAUUCUAUAUGUGUUAUUUCAUAGUUUUGAUGUCUUCCUUAUUAUUCUACAAUGUAGAAAAUAGUAAAAAUAAAGAAAAACCCUUGAAUGAGUAGGUGUCCAAACCUUUGACUGGUACUGUAUACGUACAUAUAUGUAACAUAUAUGAGCAGAAAGAUGAAAAAUGCAUGGUGGGUGGAGAUGACAAGAUUAGAGACUCCCUUCCUUGUGCGGGUUUCUUCCAUCUUACUACUCGAACAUGUCACAUGGUAGCCAUGGUUACAGGGACCAUGGCAGCUUGAGUAGGCUGUAGAUGCCUCAUGCAGUAUCAUUCAUUUAGAACCCCCCAUCCCCAGACAACACUACUACUGUUGUCAGCUGGGCACAAUCCCUUUUUAGAGUGUAAAUGUAUUGCACCUUUGUGAUAUAGGCUGAGAGCCAUUGAGUUACAUUGAUUAAAACACAGUAGAUAUGUCUUAUUUUUAAAUUGAAAUAAGAUAGUGGUGGGGGGGGGGUAAGGAAGAGAGAGACUAUGCUGCAGUCAGAGUGGCCCAAAGGAAAUGAGAAUUCCCGAUGUCUGCGAAUUCAGAGCUGGAACGUCUGAGAACAAUCUACAAAGCUUUUCAGGAUUUCUAGGAACAUUUAAAGAAAUGCUUCAAAAACUGUCCUGAUCAUCUACAACUAAUGUUUUUCUUAGAAAAACUAAGAAGGUAUAAGAAUAUUGUUAAAAAAAAUAAUAUUCUUAGGACAUUUUCAUAUGCCUAAGAAUGCAUCGACAUAUUGUACCUCUAGGAAAGUCUCAGAAUUUCCAAAGUAUCUCCUCUCAACUCUGACAGCGUCUGAACGAGGUGGCAUGAACCUGUGGCAAAACAGGCGGCAAGAAACUGAGUGACCAUAUACAGCACGAACAACCCAAAAAUACCAAAUAAGCUGCCGACUAUGGGGACAGCAAAGGGAACUCACUUGGCGCCAAAACAGACGUGCCAGGUACGGUAGCAGAGAACACGGUACUCUGGAGAUGAGCGAGUUUGGGGAAUGGGGGAGGAGGUGAGUUGAGGAUGGGACAGAGUGCAUGUCCAUCUGGUAAAUAGAUUCAAACCCCUUUUUUCCACUUAGUUUUCAGACAUCGGCAGCACACUGUUUAGGGGAAAUAUGUACGUGUAUGGUCCCAGACUACAGAGGUCUCUGAGAGGACUAUGAGGGAGAUGAAGGCGGAGAAUGCUGAAUCCCAGAAAUGGAUGGAGGAAGGAUGCUGUGGAAUGGAGGGGCAUAUGGCUGACAUACUUUUAUUAAAGUUCAAAUACUACAGCAGAAAAAAUAGAAUAACCAUAACAAUAAUAAUCAUCGGCAGCAGCAGCAUCAUCCUUCUCAAGGUUGUUGUCACAAUCCUCCUCCUCCAACAAAUCAUUAUUAUUAUUAUAAUAUUAAUAUGGGUGGGCUAUUUUAUUACAUUUUUUCUCUAUUUUACUUCAUUUUUGAUGUUUAAUGUAAUUUAUUUUCAAAAGAGGUGUCCAUUAAUCUUGAACUUCUACGGUUUGAUCCUUGCUUGGAACUGGGGCCUCUGUGGCAUUGGCCUCCUUGACCAGUGCAGCGGGCUCAGUGGCAGCCAGUGGUGCUGCUGUUGAACUAGCGGCCGGGGCCUCCUUGGCCGGGGCUGCCGCUGCUGCUUCUGUGGGCUUGGCCUGGGGGGCAGCGGCAACAGGGGCCGCCUCGGCUUUAGCCGCUGGUGCUGCGGGGGCCUCAGUCUUUUUAGCAUCGGCCUCGUCUUUGCUUUCAGCCUGGGCUGCGGGUGGUGCAGGCGCCUGGGCCUUGACCUCUGGAGCUUGGGCGGCUUCCUUAGUGGAGGGGGGUGGCUCUUUCGCAGGGGCGGCUGAUUUCUCCUUGGCUUUGGGGGCAGGGUCGGUGACUUCCGCAGCCUUAGGCACCUCUGCUUUGGUCUCUGCUGCAGGUUUUUCCGGCUCCUUGGCGGGAGGGGAGGCGCCCUUUUCUUCCUCCUUGGUCGUUGUGGUAUCGGCUGCGGGCACAUCCUUUGUGUCGUUAGCUACCUCGGUGGUCUCUGCGGGAGCAGGGGCCUCGUCCUUUUUGUCGUUCUGAGGUUCGCUCUCCUCGGCUGUUGCGCCCUCUGGUUUGGCAUCCUUGUCCUUGGCCUUCUCAUCGUUUACAUUGUAUCCCUUCUUCUUUUUGCUGAGCUUGCCUCCCAUUUUAGUCUCUGAAAGAUCAAAAAGAGAGGAAUUAAUUUAGACUUUGGAAAAGCUUGUGGUGAUAUACUGAUGCACUGCACUCUGGUACUCAACAUUGAUGUACCAAGUAGGAUGUAUGUACAUGUAUUUCGGCAAUUACAAUACAAGUCAUGAAAAAUGUACUGCUUUCAACUGUUAAUUUAUGAACC